rnacentral:rRNA from 1 species
CGGGUGAGUAAUGCAUCGGAACGUGCCCAGUCGUGGGGGAUAACUGCUCGAAAGAGCAGCUAAUACCGCAUACGACCUGAGGGUGAAAGCGGGGGACCGUAAGGCCUCGCGCGAUUGGAGCGGCCGAUGUCAGACUAGCUAGUUGGUGGGGUAAAGGCCUACCAAGGCAACGAUCUGUAGUUGGUCUGAGAGGACGACCAGCCACACUGGGACUGAGACACGGCCCAGACUCCUACGGGAGGCAGCAGUGGGGAAUUUUGGACAAUGGGCGCAAGCCUGAUCCAGCAAUGCCGCGUGCAGGAAGAGGGCCUUCGGGUUGUAAACUGCUUUUGUCAGGGAAGAAAUCUUCUGGGCUAAUACCCCGGGAGGAUGACGGUACCUGAAGAAUAAGCACCGGCUAACUACGUGCCAGCAGCCGCGGUAAUACGUAGGGUGCGAGCGUUAAUCGGAAUUACUG